rnacentral:rRNA from 1 species
CGGAGGAAAAGAAACUAACAAGGAUUCCCCUAGUAACUGCGAGUGAAGAGGGAAAAGCUCAAAUUUUGAAUCCGGCGGUCUUUGGCCGUCCGAGUUGUAAUCUAGAGAAGCGUCUUCCGCGCUGGACCGUGUAUAAGUUUCCUGGAAUGGAACGUCGUAGAGGGUGAGAAUCCCGUCUUUGACACGGACUCCCAGGGCUAUGUGAUGCGCUCUCGACGAGUCGAGUUGUUUGGGAAUGCAGCUCAAAUAGGGUGGUAAAUUCCAUCUAAAGCUAAAUACAGGCGAGAGACCGAUAGCGAACAAGUACCGUGAGGGAAAGAUGAAAAGAACUUUGGAAAGAGAGUUAAACAGUACGUGAAAUUGCUGAAAGGGAAACGCUUGAUGUCAGUCGCGUUUGCCGGGGAUCAGCCUUGCUUGACUGCUCGGCGUACUUCCUGGUCGACGGGUCAGCAUCAGUUUUGAUCGUCGGAAAAGGGCUCGAGGARUGUGGCACUCCAGAAGGAGUGUGUUAUAGACUCGGGUCGAAUACGAUGAUUGGGACUGAGGAACUCAGCACGGCCUUUAGGGUUCGGGGCUCUGGCCCACGUUAGCGUGCUUAGGAUGCUGGCAUAAUGGCCUUAAGCGACCCGUCUUGAAACACGGACCAAGGAGUCUAACAUGCAUGCGAGUGUUUGGGCGAUGAAAAC